GACAAACCGUGCAAACGUUAUUCGGAAUCACUGGGCAUAAAGGGCGCGUAGGCGGCUUCAUAAGUCAGGGGUGAAAUCCGGCAGCUUAACUGUCGCAGUGCCUUUGAUACUGUGGAGCUCGAGGGAGGUAGGGGUCUGUGGAACUUCCGGUGGAGCGGUGAAAUGCGUUGAUAUCGGAAGGAACGCCGGUGGCGAAAGCGACGGACUGGAUCUCUUCUGACGCUGAGGCGCGAAAGCCAGGGGAGCAAACGGG
rnacentral:rRNA from 1 species